GUAUGCAUCUGUGCGUGUAUGUGUCUGUAUAUGUGUGUAUGUAUGUGUAUGUGAUUGUAUGUGUGUGGGUGUGCAUUCUAAAAGGCAAAGCAAGACUGAACUACUGAAAUCCUGCAAGUUCCCGAUGAAAUGGACAAGUACUAAAAGGCAAGAGAUGUCUGAGGAAGGGAAGUUGGCAAUCCAAUUCAUGGACUACGACAUGGCGGUCCUGGUGGACCCCACAGUAAUGGAGACGGAGGCCAUCCUCUUUCCAGUGGACUGGCAAAGAAGGCCACAGCCUUAGACACUGCCAGCCUGGGAUGAGAUAACCACCAGAGAUAGUGCAGUGAGUCUCCGAAGAGAAAAAAAUGCCUUGCAAUGGCUACCUUCCCCCCAGCCCCACCCCAUCCCCCUUUUUGUCU